UCUAGGCAUUAUGGGGACCGCUGGAUUAAGGCGACAAAAAUUGGUCUCCUUAAUAUUUUCAGUCCAGAUUUGAUGUAUCAAAUGUCAAUAAAAAUGUCCAUUGACAGUAAGUUGAUAAGCUUGAAUGUUUAUUUACGAGAUCAUUUCAUUGUUUUAAAUCUUAUUAUCUUUUAAUAUUAAAAAAAAUAUUCUUAAACUUUUGUGUGUGUAUAUUUGUGUAUCCAUAAAAAUAGCUAUUAAGGCGACCAGGGAAAAAAUCAUAAUUUUGGUCAAAAAUAGCUAUAUACUAAGCAUUUUUUAUUUGUUUUACUUUAUUUAAAGCCUAUUGUAUUUUAUCCCGAAGUUUCAUUCCAUAAAAAACAGAAAUAAGGAAAUUCGAUAUUUCGUGUACCACCAGCAUCCAAAUUUUCAAGUAUACAGAAAUUUAACUUUCCGGAAUAUAACGGAAAUUUUCGGGUAUCUCCGUGGUACCAUCUCCGUGCAAUUAUGCAGUAUGGCGUUCAUCUCUUACGGAAAGAGAAUGGUAACUUGUUGCUGCUUGGGACAAUAAAGUUAAGUCAGCAACCGUCUACCAGACUGCAAGAUUCAUCUCUUCCAAAGGAUGUCGUACCUUUCCAGAUACACUGUGUUUUGUGUGGAUAAGAAAUGCAGAGUGGUACCACCAAUCACCUAAGCCACCAUUCCCCUAACAGACAAUAGGCUCAUGGGGACAGUUCCUGCAAUUUACAGAAAAGCUCUCAAUUGUAGCCCUACGAACUUCAGAUACUGCCGAUGGUGAAGCUUGGGUGCACCGGGCCGGUUUUCCAGCCGUGUGGAAUCAACAUCUCCAGCUGAACUGGGGCCGGGAAUUAUAUAAGACUCCUUAGCAGCAUGAGUGCCAGCCAGUCAUUGCUGUUCUUGCAUUGCUGAGGAGGACAGUCCUGCCAACAUAACAGUUUGUUCAAUAACAGGAGACAAACAGAAACACAGAGGUGCUAUACAUUCUGAUGGAAAAACAAAAGCAUCUCCCAUCAUUUUGGCGUGGCUCAGAUCAAGAGGAGAAUUUUAAGAAAGGUGAUGGUUGGGCACACACAAGAAGACAUAGAUCACAGGUGUCUAGCCAUAUGAGUAGAUAGGAGUGUCACACUCUGCCAAACUUACUUCAUCAGACGAGCAGAAAGCUUCUCAAGAUCCCGCACUGCACACUAAGACAUAGUCUUUGACUACAACAAGGUGAUGAAAGUACAGAGGUCCAAUUGAAAUCAAUUCUGUGCUGCUGUCAUUUCUUCAUUCUGGAAGUCGAUGGACAUGAUUUAUUAUGGCAUCAAGUGUGCAGUUUGCCGACUAUCAGCAGUCUUGUUCACCAGCUGUGCAACUUGAGCUGGUAGCUUUAUUGCUUGAAGCCACUGCAUAAGAGGGGGAAGGUGCAGGCUCAUCAAAAAGUCUCAAAAGUUGAAACUAGGAAAAGAAGUUUAUCAAGAGUGUGAAUCUAUUUUGAAAACAAUCGUUACAAUGAUUUGGUUUCCUUUGAAACUUCAUACAUACUAUGAAUUGAGAUGCUUAAAUAAAAAACCGCUAUUCAAAUAUCAGGAAACUGCCUUUUUCAUACUAAAGGGUAAAUGAUGUCGCCAUUUCCUGUAUGUAUUUAAAUAAGAUAUGUCUCCACAAUUAAUAUUUUUAGGGAAUUUUUCUCAACCUAAUGAAUGAGAUUAAAUUGUACAGCGUUAUAUGAG